AAGGAAUACAUCAUUCCUUGACCAUACUCCAGAGACCACCUCUGCUCGAGGGCUGGCUGAGGGAUGUGCCAAGUGCUGAAAUACGUGGUCACCUAUUGUGGAAAUGGUGAGAAGGUGAUGGCAGUCCCCAGAUGAAUGCUUCCUCUCACUGCUCACUGCCAGGUCAUCCAGCAUUGCUUGCUAACGCCAGGUCCAUACGGGAUGUUGAAUGAGGACACGGUGUCAGUGGCCUGAGCUGGCAGCACGGCUUUCUGCUGGAGGUGCAGCUCAGUACACAGUUGCUAUCACAAAAAGUAGAAUUCUGGACUUUGGUUCAGUUUCUGGACUUGAUGCAAAUACACAAUAGCCAUCAGCUUCUCUGCAGACUGCGUGGAUCAGCAUGAAAUAAAACAAAGCAUGUCACAGAUGUGAAAACCUGGAGCUGUUUUCUCCUGUACUAUUGAACUCAAGGACUCUCUUUGCAAACAGACUCUUGCCAGCACAUUACAGUAAGAGAUCUCCUUACACCAUUUGAUCAGGUUAAGCAUAGGUACCAGCGUGUAGUUGUGUCUGGCAUUGAUUCUCCCCCAAAAAACCCUGUAAGAACACUAAGAGCAGUUGUAAGAUAUUCCCUUGGGUUUGUUCCAGAGAGGUGGUACUGUCUAUCUGUCCAGUCCAAUAGACAACACUGGACUUGGCCUUCCAAGCUCAGCUAACCAUGGCCAUCUGCCAAGAAACCCUAAUCUGAGGAUCUCACUGGAGCAUUACUGGGAAGCAGACAGCAUUAUCUGUGCAAGGGAACGACUGCUUCAAAGAAGAACAAAAGCAGAAAGCAGAAAAUUAGAGCUUCAACCAUAAAGUUCAAAGAACACGGGGAAAAAGCAUGAAAAAUAAUUUUGACACUUUGAAGUAGAACUCAAUUGUUCCAUUAAACUGUAUUUUUAAUAAAAAAUAACAAUAACAGCAUUCCAAAUAUCUAUUUUAUAAGCUUUACUAAUGUAUAUUUUUUUUAAUACAUGUCAGAAAUUCUUACUUGAGGCAAAUGCAAUAUUUAUAGAAAGCAAGAGACUUCAAAACAGCUCCAGAGACUUUAAGCUCUCGAUUUAUUCACAGAUUUAGAAUAACUCAGGAAUACAAAAUGACAAAAUGUACAUUUUUUAUAUUGUUUACUAAUGUAUUGUCUCUUGUCCCUGAUCCGUCAUUUUCCUGACUGGAGGAAACACAUUCAGCUUCUUCACUGCCUUUAAUGCUACACACUUCUGGAGGGAAAUAUUCCCAUUUGGUGAAAAUCUAUCACAAUUCUGUCUUGCAGAAUAUCACUCCCAGAGAAUUAUGUGAAGAUCAUUAAUAAAUACACUUUUGCAAUGACAGUCAUUUCUUCUUUGCUCAUGAUUCGUAUCUAUUAUUUGCCUCAGCCUCUCCAGUUCCCAGAGAAGCUGCUGGUGAGAGUGAGGACCAGAAGAGGCAGUGCAGCUUCAGACCAAAGCCAGAAUGAAGGCUGGCCAGUGGCUAUAAAGGUUAACAAGAUGUCAGAAGUCAGUUAACCCUAGUUAGACACGUCACUGGUUGUGGAAAGAAGCUCUCCCUGUCUGUCAAAGGCCACUUCCACAAUAUGUUGGCUGUGUUUGGAAGUGAGGAACACGCUUUCUGGAGGAUGGCUUUGGGAGCCAGCAGGUCCAUGUCUCUCCUCCAAGCUCAAACACUGUCUGGCUGUGUGGCCUCAUGCAGGCCACAGAACCACAUCACUCCUGAGGCUGAUCCUAGGUGGAAGAAAAGCCCAUCCUGUGCAGAGCCCGCUCAUAGCCCCUGCACCCAACCCAGUCAGACACCCCUGAGGGAUGCCACAAGCUGCCAACCAGCAGAAAAUGGGUAAGAAGAUGAGAAAGCAGUCAAAAUAUUCUUUCCGUUACCAUUGCAAAUCUUUAAUUUUUCAAAAACAACAAUUCUAGACUCACAAAAGCACAUUGUUUAAAAAAUACCAGAUAUUGGCUUAUUUUGUCUAUUCACUCUGUGUGAUGCUCUUCAGUCUGGAGGCAUCACUGAAACUGCAGCAUUUCCACCGUUUCUUCCUUCCUCUUCAGUCAGCAGGUGGGCAGGUGAGCGUGUUUCCCUUUUCCUGUCAGUUUCACUUCCAUUCUCAUGUGGUUUUUCAUUAUAUUACAGUGCAGCUAUAUUUUUACAGCCAUACCCAAACACUGCUAUAACAGAACACCAAGAAGUUUCGGAGCAGCCAGUCUAUGACACCCUACCUGUGGCACAGGCACAACAUCACUCCAAGAAGGAUGAAGGGGCAACAGUGAGAAGCCUAAGAGAGCCCUGCCGCAUGACCUCAAGUCUGCUGUCCUGGGCUCUGGUGGAACAAAGGUGUGAUAUUCAGUUGCAAAUAUCUCAGCACAAUAGUGGAAUUUUCAAACCAAUACAUUUUGCGAAGGAACCAUAAACACUUUUGAACUUCUCCUUUUUAUUUCAGCACCAUGUUAAGUUUUAGCGUGAAAAUUGUUUGAUGUUCUUCUACAAAGUAAUCUAGCCUCUGAUUUUGGGGUGUGAAUUUAUUCCACAUACUUCACUAAGUGCCUAGCAGAGGUCACUGGGAAGCAAAGGAAUUUGUAACCCACAUACACAAAUAACUAUACGCGCAGCAUGAUACAGAUCUGGGCAGGCACGGGGUUAUUUUUCUUUUCCAAGAAAAUCCUGGAUCAGAAUUAGUCAAAAAGACAAGUUACCCUGGCAAAAGAUAAGUCCAGAGCUCUCCCAAGUGUACUGCUGCUGAAUCAACAGCUAGAGCUCUCAGCCAGCUCAGAGCUGCGCUAGACAGACAGCAAUAAAGGAUGUAUUUUAGCUCCCCAAAUUGCAGCAGCAAAAAUAAGCCGUGAAAUGAGUAACUGUUGAAAGAUGAUUAGCACACCAGUUCAGUGCACUGCUACAGGGUGUUUCUUUUCUCCUUAGACUUCCCCUGAUGUUUUGAACUUCUGCCCAAGUCCUGCUCAACCAAAAGAUUUUAGGACCUGAUGAAAGACCACGAAUUUUGCCUACUCCAUAACCUAACAACUUUAAGGUUACACUUCCAGUUGGACCCACAUGGGCUCUGCAAAGGCACAGUGUCUGCCCAGGAUUGCCCGGGAACUACAGACCUCAACUGUAGUACAUUGAACCACAGGUGUCAUCACGGCUGCAUUUCCUGUAGGAAAAACCUGCUCCCCCAGUGAUGGCUACUGAUGUUCAGAGAAACAGUUACAGUGUUCUGGCAAAAAUCAUUUUGCAAACUACAGUAAAUGAACACUGCUGGGCUCAGCUGGAAUCCACAGGAGUGGAUGCGUUCACAGUCAUUUCAGUCAGUACCAUCCAAAAGUGUAACUCGGGGACUAAAGAUCAACAAUUUAAAAGUGAAAGUAAGUGCUAGGAUCUUUAUUUUCCUGGUGUCUCAAGUUCAGACUCUGACUCCUCACACAGGGCCUUGACUCCAGCAGCUGGGCUUUAAGAAAAAACAGAGACUGUUCAAAGGCAUGUGACAAAAUCAUGCAAGUUGGUAAAAGCAGAGCCGGAGGGGUGGAAGAAACUGGUGAGUCAGCUUGUCACAGAAACGCAUUUAGAAUUUAACUGGCUGUAAAUCUCAAUAGGGACUAUGUGUUCUGGGGCACUAGGCCAAAAUAUGCCCAAGAGCCUCCAGCUCCAUAUGACAGCAGUAGCUCUAUCACGCAAACAAACACUUUUCUGAGCAAAGGAUUUUAGUUGAGAGAGCAAACAGGCCUUUGUGAGCCUUUCACCACAAAUGGCUGAUGUCCAGUUUGGGAUAUUUUCUUAAAUGUAAAUAAGGAAAUAUAUGCCAUUAAGAAUUCUGGUUAAACUGCACAAUAAAAAUAAUGGGCAUUUGUUCGUAUGGAAACCAUCUGGGGUCAUAAUGUCUAGGGCAAAAUGACAACUGCCUCGGUAUCUAGAAAAGUGGUUACCAGUGUUCCCCAUGCCCACCUGCUGCCUGGGUAAAACAGAACUGAUGCCACUCUACCAGACCCUGCAGAAUCCCAGAGAGCUACUUCCCAAAGCAUUUGAGCCGGUGCUUUUCACCAGAGCCAAACUCCUUCAGCUCCCGUGCAAGGGAUGACAGGAUGUGGGCUUUGGAUCCUGGGGAAAGCUGUGCAAAACCCUAUCCAUUCCCCUCCCGUCUGUGACCAGGCCUGGCUGCUGCUGCUGCUAAGGUCUGUGCCUUGAAGUACUGCAGGGCCUUGGAUUAACUCAGUUCCAUCAUUUCCUGACAUUUCCAUGUUCACAGCUGCUGAAGGAGCAAGGCUGUCAUCAGGGCCCAGCGCAGCAACCGCGUCGGGGACACAAGGGAAGGCUGCUCAUGCUUUGGACAUGCUGGGUGAGCAGGACCCACAAGCUCCUGUGCCAAGGGAGCUCCUUUUCUCUCUGAUACUUUGUCUUAGCAGGACCUCACAUAUUCGCAUCUUGCUCCAGUGCUCAUUCACAAGGCUGACAUGUAUGGCUGUACCCUGUGUGGCCCCUGCUAAUUCAUGACAACACUAGUGACUGACAAGAGCUGGCACCUUCCCCAUCAACACACACUGUGGGCCAGCAUGAGCAGCAAAUCUACAGUCGAGGAAUCUCUUAAAGUAAACACUGAAGUGAGUGCCUGUGGCUGUAUCUUGCAAGCACUGCUCAACAGACUUGGCUCCUGGGGUUGGAGUAUAUCAUCUCCAGUGUGAGCCUCACUGAAGUUAAUAUUAAUGCUACAGCUAACCCAGCCAGCUGCUGCACAAGGCAAAGAGCAGUUUAUAGCAGAAAAGUCCCUGCAGCCUAUUAGUUCUCUGCAAGACAGCAGUCUCAUCCUUCCAGAUGUGCACUCUGGCACUGAGCUCCAGAGCAUCUGAGCACUGCAGAGCUGGCAAGCUCUACACAUGCCAAACAUGUGUCAGAAACACUUCAGAGGAGCUUUGCUCUUGCUACUCAUCCCGCGCAGCCUCGUGCUGUUCCUGACAUGACCGCAAACAGCACUGUGGCACACCAGGGUUCUCGCUGUCAGGAGUGACAGUUUGAAGCCACCCUGACAGUGCUCAGUGCUGGCCCUGCUGAGCCCUGCACAAGCUCAGGCUGACGGUUCUGGCUGUGCUGAGGCUGAGCAGGGGGUGCUGGCUGCAGCAUGCUCCACAUCCCAUCACCCAGGCAGGGAUAUGGUGCAGGGGGACCUGGCUCCCUUCCAUGCUGCUUUCCCUCCCCACAAGCGAGGGCUGAAGUAUGCUGCUGUGCACUGGGGUUUUGUGGAGUUGUGCAGCCCAGGUACAGCCCCAGACUGGGAGCCUGCUUUCCUGGGCUGGGCUUACAGAUUCUGUCAUCUCCUUGGUUCACAGGAUUGUAAAUCUCCCAUGAUGUCUUUACAACACAGCUGCGAAGAGGCAAUAUCUAAAAGGCUGAGGAAGAAAAUGUCCUGCCACCUGGGAGCAGCACUCUUUAUCUCCCCAGUAACGUGCAGGUGUCUUGGGCUGGUCUGGCUCUCUUCUCUUCCACUGUGAUAUUUUUCAGUCAAUGCAUGCCUGAUUCUUUUUUUGUUCUUUCCUGAAUUGCAGGUAGCUUUGAAAAAACACGCAUGAACCAGCCCUGCCAGGUGAAAAAUAAAGGCUCCUGAUUGCUAUCAUUAUUGUUAUACCACUAGACAUUUUAUUAACACUAAAGUGUGACAUUUCCCUCCAAAGAAAGGCCUUCUUCUGCCCUUCUGCAUGGCUACUUUAUUGAAUCCAAACUCCGUUUCCGAGGAUCUUCACCUGUUUAAACGCUGCUGUGUUUCUAAAAGCAAUUUAACCUUUCAUCUUUUAUGGAUGGAUCCUUUUUUAACAAAAAUCCUAUAGGGCCAUUUUUCUCCUCAUCUCCUUGUGAUCUCAGUGAUAUUACGUGAUGUAGCUUUUGAAGAAGAAAUGCCGAAACAGCAGCUUCACCACCUGCAGUUAAUGCAGCAGGAAGACGGAAAAGGCAACCUGGAAAAUUCCCUUUUCAACAUUUCUCUCACAAGCUCCUGGUAAGAAUCCCCCAAACCGACAAUGUCUCUUGCAUAAAAAUGAAGGGCAAGUGCUGAGGAAGGAGAGAAUGACCCGGAGAUUUUGCCCAUGUAAAAGCCAUCAGCUUGUUUUCCAGCCUCGCAGCCGCUCAUUGCAUCAAUGACUCAAGCACCACCCAGCUUUAAGUAUUUAUUUUUGGCAGUGGCUCUGUGCUGUCCAAGGUAACUCAGUCUCCUGGGAUGAAGAAAGCCGUUCUGAACACAGCCAGUGCCCGAGAGAUGCAGUGUUUAGAGACAGAACUGUUUUCAAGGCAUUGUUGGAUGAUUUUACUGCUUACUUACCUCAUGGCUCACAGGGGAUUCUUGGUUCAAUAAAAACCAGACAACUACA